GUCGCGUGAUGCAGUGGUGCUUUGCAAGCACGCGGAAGAAGCCGAUGCCGGAGUUGGUCCGUCUUACUCCAGGGGUGCCAAUGAAGAAAUAACGUCAAUAUGGCGGUUUUAAGUCUUAGGAAGGAACGUGAAGUCUCCGACGAUGUUGGAUGAAACCGAGGAGACAAGCCAACAAUGCGCCUGCGCCGUCUGCAACAAAGUUUUCGUCUGCGAGUACACCUACCUCUUUCGGCUCCCCCCUGGCAGGAGAGACGGCUCCCACGUUUGUCCCGAAUGCCGCCACGUAUUCGAUCAAUUGGGCCGUUUAAACUUGCACCGAGGCGAGUACACCGGAUAGAAAGGCCGCAUAUAUCACGAAUGUCAUAGUUCCUCUCACAAAAAAGAA